CCUACGGGAGGCAGCAGUGGGGAAUAUUGGACAAUGGGGGAAACCCUGAUCCAGCGACGCCGCGUGAGGGAAGAAGUAUUUCGGUACGUAAAGCUCUAUCAGCAGGAAAGAAAAUGACGGUACCUGACUAAGAAGCCCCGGCUAACUACGUGCCAGCAGCCGGGGCAACAUGUAGGGGGCAAGCGUUAUCCGGAUUUACUGGGGGUAAAGGGAGCGUAGACGGCAGCGCAAGUCUGGAGUGAAAUGCCGGGGGCCAACCCCGGAACUGCACUGGAAACUGGGAAGCUGGAGUGCAGGAGAGGUAAGCGGAAUGCGUGGUGUGGCGGUGAAAUGCGUAGAUAUCAGGAAGAACACCGACGGCGAAGGCGGCAUACUGGACUGUAACUGACGUUGAGGCUCGAAGGCGUGGGGAGCGAACAGGAUUAGAUACCCUUGUAGUC
rnacentral:rRNA from 1 species